AUACGUAGGGAGCAAGCGUUAUCCGGAUUUACUGGGUGUAAAGGGCGCGUAGGCGGGACGACAAGUCAGGUGUGAAAUCUAUGGGCUCAACCCAUAAACUGCACUUGAAACUGUUGUUCUUGAGUGAUGGAGAGGCAAGUGGAAUUCCUAGUGUAGCGGUGAAAUGCGUAGAUAUUAGGAGGAACACCAGUAGCGAAGGCGGCUUUCUGGACUGUAACUGACACUGAGGCACGAAAGCGUGGGGAGC
rnacentral:rRNA from 1 species